GAUGAAGAACGUAGCGAAAUGCGAUAAGUAGUGUGAAUUGCAGAAUUCAGUGAAUCAUCGAAUCUUUGAACGCACAUUGCGCCCUUUGGUAUUCCAAAGGGCAUGCCUGUUCGAGCGUCAUUUGUACCCUCAAGCUUUGCUUGGUGUUGGGCGUCUUGUCUCUAGCUUUGCUGGAGACUCGCCUUAAAGUAAUUGGCAGCCGGCCUACUGGUUUCGGAGCGCAGCACAAGUCGCACUCUCUAUCAGCAAAGGUCUAGCAUCCAUUAAGCCUUUUUUUUCAACUUUUGACCUCGGAUCAGGUAGUGAUACCCGCUGAACUUAAGCAUAUCAAUAAGCGGAGGA
rnacentral:misc_RNA from 1 species